UAGGGAAUCUUCCACAAUGGACGCAAGUCUGAUGGAGCAACGCCGCGUGAGUGAAGAAGGUUUUCGGACCGUAAAGCUCUGUUGUUGGUGAAGAAGGAUAGAGGUAGUAACUGGCCUUUAUUUGACGGUAAUCAACCAGAAAGUCACGGCUAACUACGUGCCAGCAGCCGCGGUAAUACGUAGGUGGCAAGCGUUGUCCGGAUUUAUUGGGCGUAAAGCGAGCGCAGGCGGAAGAAUAAGUCUGAUGUGAAAGCCCUCGGCUUAACCGAGGAAUUGCAUCGGAAACUGUUUUCUGAGUGCAGAAGAGGAGAGUAGAACUCCAUGUGUAGCGGUGGAAUGCGUAGAUAUAUGGAAGAAUACCAGUGGCGAAGGCGCUCUCUGUCUGCAACUGACGCUGAGGCUCGAAAGCAUGGGUAGCGAACAGGAUUAGAUACCCUGGUAGUCCAUGCCGUAAACGAUGAGUGCUAAGUGUUGGGAGGCUUCCGCCUCUCAGUGCUGCAGCUAACGCAUUAAGCACUCCGCCUGGGGAGUACGACCGCAAGGUUGAAAC
rnacentral:rRNA from 1 species